GCUAUUUUGACAGAUUAUUGUGAUAAAUUUAGAAUUUAUUUAAGUAUAAUUAUAUUUAUACAUUUAGUA
rnacentral:tRNA from 1 species